GACGAACGCUGGCGGCGUGCCUAAUACAUGCAAGUAGAACGCACAGUUUAUACCGUAGCUUGCUACACCAUAGACUGUGAGUUGCGAACGGGUGAGUAACGCGUAGGUAACCUGCCUGGUAGCGGGGGAUAACUAUUGGAAACGAUAGCUAAUACCGCAUAAUAUUGAUUAUUGCAUGAUAAUUGAUUGAAAGAUGCUAUUGCAUCACUACCAGAUGGACCUGCGUUGUAUUAGCUAGUAGGUGAGGUAACGGCUCACCUAGGCGACGAUACAUAGCCGACCUGAGAGGGUGAUCGGCCACACUGGGACUGAGACACGGCCCAGACUCCUACGGGAGGCAGCAGUAGGGAAUCUUCGGCAAUGGACGAAAGUCUGACCGAGCAACGCCGCGGGAGUGAAGAAGGUUUUCGGAUCGUAAAGCUCUGUUGUAAGAGAAGAACGGGUGUGAGAGUGGAAAGUUCACACUGUGACGGUAUCUUACCAGAAACGGACGGCUAACUACGUG
rnacentral:rRNA from 1 species